rnacentral:misc_RNA from 1 species
GGGGCCUGCGUUCGCGCGGCCCCUACCUACACAGUUAAAUGUUUUCCAUAUUGUUGUCUCGAGUGAUUUCUAGCUCUUGGUUCUGAUUUCUGAGCAUUGAGAGGUCAUUGAUGUCUUCUGCUUCAACUGUUAUUAGAUGUUCUUGUGGUUCUAUGAUUUGAAAAUGACUGGUUUCAUUUAUUUUCCAAAACUAUAUUUUAGUCCAACGCACAGGUCCCUCGCAGCUUCUUGGUUUCAGGUGCUCAAUGAAAACUUUCAGAGCUUUUCAUUUUCUUUAAAUAUGGCUAUGGAAAGAAAAUGACCCUAGGAAAGGAGUGCUAUGCAAUAAAACAAUGGUAUUGAAAAUAAAAUUGGGUCCAUGAACGCUUUACAAGAUUGAAUUUCAAUAAAUAUUUUUAAGUUCAUUUCUCUCUAUUUCUUCCUGACCAAGACCAACCCAUCUUUCUUUCUCCUAGUUUUCAUGUUGAAUUCCUAAUUGACAACACUAGCACAGUGAUAAAGAUAGUAUUUUGCAAAACUUAGUCCCAUUGAAUUUCCCUGUGAAAUGUCCACUCAGAAGGAUUUAGUGUUGUCUUUCCAUCAGCAGCGACAAGAUAAUAAGGUGAGUCCUCUGGAAAUUCAGUGUGCAUGGACUUCCAGUGGAGAGAUGGACUCCACUCAGCUUCCUUCAGCACCUUCAGUAUUUCUUCCACAACUACUUUGCUCCCUUCAGCUGCUAAAUGAAUUCCAUCCCUGGAAAAAUUUGACAAAGUUGUAAAAUUUAAACUCUUGACAAAGAACUGCAAAUUUGACUCAAUGAAUGAAGACAAGCUCUUAGUAGAACUUGAUCCUGAAUUCAUCUGUAUUUUGGGCGAUUCUCAAAACAAUAAUCAUGUCAUCUGAUUUCACAGGGAAAUUCCACUGGUGGAACCUGAUGCUAACAAUGCAUCUGUAAAGAAGAGUGGAUGAAAAUGGCUAAUCUUUGUUCAGGGGAGGAGAAAGAAGAGAUUCAUCUAUUUAGUGAUGCCCAUUUAUGACCUGGAGACAAGUCUAGACGACACUUAACUCCAACAUCCUCUCAACCAUAAGAAUAUCCAUUAGAGUAAGUCUGUCGUAAGCGAGAACUGGGAAAGAUAAGUCAAACUUCCUGUGCCAAAAUCAUCAAUUGAAAUACUAAUACGACCAGCAAUGUUUGUCAAGCAUUUCAUUUUAUCAUGGUAAACUAAACAUAUUCAAGCACAAGGGUUUAUCACAACACAAAACCUAGUAGGGGGGUGGACCAUUUAUCUAAGGAGUCAAGUCAAGGAUUACCUCAAGUAAAAAAGCAGGCCUAACUAUGGCUGGAAAGCUUCCAGACCAUGCAUCUAUAAGAGACACAAUGGCAGAUUAAACCUCGCAAAUUAUCAUGCAUGUGAGAAGUAUCAACAUAGCAACCUUAAAUUAAAUAAUUUCACUCAGAAAUAUGCUUCACUUAUGGACCUCAAUUGUAAUCACAAAAAACAAGAUACUGAAAAUGUCCCAGAAAACUUACGUAAAGCAAGCAGUUGUCCAGUCACUUCUUUUUUGAAGUGCAGAGAAAAGAUCAACAACUUUCACGCCCAUUUCCUGGCAUAGCUCUAUACAUGCUUCUGAAUACUUUUGGCAUAACUCAUUUGUUCGAACUAGCUCGCUAAAAAUUCCACUGAUUUAAAAGAAACAAUGGUUCAAGAUUUUAUAUUUAGUGAUAGGAAAAAAAAUGAGAGCAAAGACAUGGUUUGAAUUGAAUAACCUUGUGCCUGAACGAACCCUCUCCUCAUCAACUGGAGGACAGCUCAGAAAAAUGAUGCGUAUGGUAUCAGAGAGGCUCUUGAGAUGAACUGCAAUCUUUCUCAUAUUCUCUAUGUACUCGGGAAGUGGUACAUGAGGACCUAGGCCAGAUGAGUGAGGCCCCAUAGAAUCAUUACCACCAAAAUAGACUAUCACCAAAGCAGGCUGUACAGCAGCAUCCUGCACUGGGGGAAAGGCCAAAAUUAGUUUUUAAAAUGCAUCAGAUAAUUGCACAAAAAGCUGUUAAACAAGAAAACCAUUUAAAGGAACAUAUAUAACUUUGUAUCACAUAGAACCAAAAGAAAGGAAGAAAACCAGUAAAGAAAAUAAAAGAAAACACUUAUGCUGCCGAAUUUUCUUGAGAUUAUAGAGAGUAUUUACCGAGUUUGAUUUUCGAGCAUUAACUUUAUAUGGCAAAUGCUGAAAUGCGAACAAAACCAUAAGUUCAAUUGUCAACGAAAGAUCCUUUAUGAAUUUGACAAUUAUAAGGAUCAGCAACAAAUUUAAGCAAUCAUGUAUGAUCAUUGCAAGCAAGACUUCCCACAUAUUUGUGCAAAUGGCUGUUCUGUUCUCUUCUAUAAAUUUAUGCUACAAAAGCAAGACUUUUAUGUGCAUUUACUUCCAAUACGCUAGAAUUUACAACUUUUAGACAAAUAUUUUUAAGCAGAGAGGAAAAAUGGUAGAUAAAAUCUUUUGCAGCCAAGGACACAACAUUAAUACCUGUGGAAAAAUUUGAUUCAGGACCUCAACAGCACGCCUUGAGUUCCAUCCAUAGUAUCCUCGCAACACUAUGUCUGCUUUGCGAGCGUAGAUGUCGGUAAGAAUGGAGCCCCAACCGCCAUGGCUGAAGCUGAGCUGGACAAUGGAGGAUCCAAAGAGCACGAACUGUGGCCUUGUUGGUCCUACCAUUUCUGCCUCUCUUUUCUUCCAGAAAACUCACUUGCUCUGUUUCACACUAGCAAACUCGCUUUCUCUGAUGAUAGUAUGAACAAGAUGACCGACCGCUCUUACAUUCCAACUACUAACUUAAAUGAACACUCCUAUGUUGGAGGAGGCUUGAGAUCUGUCGCAGGCUUGUAGCUCCACAUUAUGAAGGACUUGACUGCACAUUAUACUAUUAAAAGAAAGAAAAAAGAAAAAGCAAUGUUUAUGUGCAUUUAUGACACAUUUUUGAACUAUCCCAUUUGCCGUCAAACAACACCAACAACCACUUUCUUGUAGUAGAAAGAUGCAUAGCCACGUCGUGCCCAAGGAAGAUGAACCAGAAGUUUGCACACGAUCUUCUCUAAUGGAUUUCCAUUAAUACCCAAAACUCCCUACCUCUCCCAAAAAAAGAGCUAAGCUACUGAUAGAAAAUACUGCUCAGACUUGCUGAUUUUUU